UACGGAGGAUGCGAGCGUUAUCCGGAUUUAUUGGGUUUAAAGGGUGCGCAGGCGGUCUGUUAAGUCAGCGGUCAAAGCCCGGGGCUCAACUCCGGUUCGGCAUUGGAUACUAUCUAGCUAGAAUGUGGUAGAGGUAAAGGGAAUUCCUGGUGUAGCGGUGAAAUGCGUAGAUAUCAGGAGGAACAUCGGUGGCGAAAGCGCUUUACUGGACCAUUAUUGACGCUGAGGAACGAAAGCCAGGGGAGCAAAUGGG
rnacentral:rRNA from 1 species